AUUGAACGCUGGCGGAAUGCUUUACACAUGCAAGUCGAACGGCAGCACGGACUUCGGUCUGGUGGCGAGUGGCGAACGGGUGAGUAAUGUAUCGGAACGUGCCCAGUCGUGGGGGAUAACGUAGUGAAAAUUACGCUAAUACCGCAUACGAUCUAUGAAUGAAAGCGGGGGAUCGCAAGACCUCGCGCGAUUGGAGGGGCCGAUAACAGAUUAGGUGGUUGGUGGGGUAAAGGCCCACCAAGCCAACGAUCUGGAGCUGGUCUGAGAGGACGACCAGCCACACUGGAACUGAGACACGGUCCAGACUCCUACGGGAGGCAGCAGUGGGGAAUUUCGGACAAUGGGCGAAAGCCUGAUCCAGCCAUUCCGCGUGCAGGAUGAAGGCCCUCGGGUUGUAAACUGCUUUUGUACAGAACGAAAAGGUUUCUACUAAUACUAGGAGCUCAUGACGGUACUGUAAGAAUAAGCACCGGCUAACUACGUGCCAGCCGCCGCAGUAA
rnacentral:rRNA from 1 species